GUGCUGGUGCAGAGAGUCGAAGGACCUGUGAGCUUUGCCCUAGAGCUUAAAACCAGGAAAAGAGACAGAGAAGAGUGAAUUUCCUGUUUGUCUCUUCUCAGCACCACCCGGAUAGAGGCCCUGUUUGCUGUGCCCGUGGCGUUUACAGCUAUCCAGUGACCUGGUGCUGCUAUUCCUCCCUGCCCCCAUUUACCAGAUGUAGAAACAGAGCCACAGGAAAGUUCGACAGGAUGCAACCAGUUGCUUCAAAGCUCCAGCUGCCUUGACUUCCCGACAGUGAUGAACUGGAACCUGGAAUUGGUCUCCCGGCACGGUAUGACAUCUGUCGCUGUUGUUGUCAUUAUUUUGCCGCCACUGCCACCCCCACCCCCGACCAUUGUCACCAUCAUCAUUGUCAUCAUCAUCAUCAUCGUCAAUUAUUUCGCCACUACUGGAGACUGAAUCUUCAACCUCAGGAAUGUUGAUCAGUUGCUCUACUACUGAGCUACAACUCCCAGCAGAAGGUCCUGUUUCUUGCUGUCGGAUUUCCACAGGGUGAGAACCUGAUGCCAACCUCGGACUUGUGAAUGUGACCACAUUUGGCAAAAGAGAUCCUUCGGGGUGAGAUUAUCCUUGAUCAGGCUGAACCCUAAAUCAGGGACUGACUGAUUAUGUAAGUUUUACCUGCAGGCCAUCUUGCCAGCUGCAGGGCCCAUCCCUGAAAGCCACUGAGUUUAUGGUGCUUAGUCAGCUACAGCAGCACCAGGAAGUUACCACAGGUAUGUUCAAUUCAUGAAUGCUCACUGAGCUCAGGGCCUACAGUGAGGAGGCUUGUGCACCUUUCUCCAUAAAUGAGCCUAAAAAAAACCAAAAACAAUACAGUAACCAGAAUGACCUUCUGCUAGUAACAUGUCUUAGUCAGUGUUCUAUUGCUAUGAAGAGACACAGUGACCACGGCGACUCUUAGAAAGCAUUUAAUUGCAGCUUAAGUUUCAGAGAUUUAGUCCA